rnacentral:misc_RNA from 1 species
GAUGAAGAACGUAGCGAAAUGCGAUAAUUAAUGUGAAUUGCAGAAUUCCGUGAAUCAUCGAGUCUUUGAACGCACAUUGCGCCUCAUGGCAUUCCGUGAGGCAUGCCCAUCUCAGCGUUAGAAAAUAUUCUCAAAUUUUAGUUUUGUGCUAAAAUUUGGAUCAUGUCAAGGAAGCUAUUACUAUUAUUGUGAUCGCUCUUUGGAAAUUGAUAGGUCUUUGAGUUGCUACUCAUAGAACGUGAUGAAUCUUUCUUCGUUCUAUUGUAAUUCACUCUGGUAGUCCUAAAACUUGUAUGCCUGUGGCAUAUCUUGUAAUUUGACCUGAGAUUGGGUAGGGAUUCCCGCUGAACUUAAGCAUAUCAAUAAGCGGAGGA